UACAGAGGGUGCAAGCGUUGUUCGGAAUUAUUGGGCGUAAAGGGCGCGUAGGCGGUGCGGUAAGUCUGUAGUGAAAUCUUCGGGCUCAACUCGAAGUCUGCACGGGAAACUGCGGGGCUUGAGUGUGGGAGAGGUGAGUGGAAUUCCCGGUGUAGCGGUGAAAUGCGUAGAUAUCGGAAGGAACACCGGCGGUGUAGACGGCUUUCUGGACCGUAGCUGACGCUGAGACACGAAAGCGUGGGUAGCAAACAGG
rnacentral:rRNA from 1 species